rnacentral:rRNA from 1 species
UACGUAGGGGGCAAGCGUGUCCGGAUUUAUUGGGCGUAAAGAGCGUGUAGGCGCCAGACAGGUCCGUUGUGAAAACUCGAGGCUCAACCUCGAGAUGUCGAUGGAAACCGUCUGGCUAGAGUCCGGAAGAGGAGUGUGGAAUUCCUGGGUGUAGCGGUGAAAUGCGCAGAUAUCAGGAAGAACACCUAUGGCGAAGGCAGCACUCUGGGACGGUACUGACGCUGAGACGCGAAAGCGUGGGGAGCGAACAGG